CUCACACACACAGCACCCUCACACACUGCAUCCCUCACACACUGCACCCCUCACACACUGCACCCCUCACACACCCUACACAUCUCACUCACACACUGCACACCUCACUCACACACAGCACACACACUGCACUCUCACACACACUGCACCCUCACACACACUUCACCCAUUUCACACACACACAUCACCCCUUUUGCACACACACAGCAUCCCUCACACUCACACACAGUGCAUCCCUCUAACACACAGUGCACCCCUCUCACAAACAGUGCACCCCUCACACACACACUGCACACCUCACACAUACACACUGCACACAAACAUAUAUGUAUAUAUCCUACAGAAUCCCUCACACACAUACUGCACCCCUAAACAC